CUGGAGGUAUCAGAAGUGCGAAUGCUGACAUAAGUAACGAUAAAGCGGGUGAAAAGCCCGCUCGCCGGAAGACCAAGGGUUCCUGUCCAACGUUAAUCGGGGCAGGGUGAGUCGACCCCUAAGGCGAGGCCGAAAGGCGUAGUCGAUGGGAAACGGGUUAAUAUUCCCGUACUUGGUGUUACUGCGAAGGGGGGACGGAGAAGGCUAUGUUGGCCGGGCGACGGUUGUCCCGGUUUAAGCGUGUAGGUGUGUGUUCCAGGUAAAUCCGGUUCACUUUAACACUGAGGCGUGACGACGAGGCACUACGGUGCUGAAGCAACAAAUGCCCUGCUUCCAGGAAAAGCCUCUAAGCAUCAGGUAACAUCAAAUCGUACCCCAAACCGACACAGGUGGUCAGGUAGAGAAUACCAAGGCGCUUGAGAGAACUCGGGUGAAGGAACUAGGCAAAAUGGUGCCGUAACUUCGGGAGAAGGCACGCUGACACGUAGGUGAAGUGAUUUACUCAUGGAGCUGAAGUCAGUCGAAGAUACCAGCUGGCUGCA
rnacentral:rRNA from 1 species